rnacentral:lncRNA from 1 species
CAAGACGGUGCUCAGAGCGGUGGUCUCCACUCCAAAGCCUUCGUGGUACAUGUUGCCAUAGCCGCAAGCUCCUCCUGCGAGAGAAGAUCGAGCCAAGAAGACACACGCAUCACGGUCAGUUCUUCUCUUCGCUCUCCUUUGUUUUCGUUCUUUCUUUCCCAGAGAUCUUGUGGAGGAAGUCUUUACGAAUCGAUGGCUCUUGGCAGGAAAGACGAAGCGAAAGUUUACCCAUUGUUCCCGACGCGUCCGAGCCGCCAUAGUACGUUGCGUGAGCUAAAGUCCAGCCCUCUGGAAUAGCUUGCUUCUCGCGUUCUUGCGCUACUGCGAGAGAGAGGAAGAAGAGAGGAAGAAGAACACAAGAAGCCAUCUCCAUCUCUAAAAACUCUUGCAAGAAACUCAAAUAGAAAGAUUAACGGGUAAGAAAUCUAUAACGGUUUUCAUAUACUUUAAAAUAUUAUGGUUUAGUACUAAACCUAAAUUGUCAAAUCAAGAAUUAGCAUGCUUAUAUUUAGUGGAAAUUAAUUUUGAUUGUUGCU